ensembl:snoRNA
UUCCACUCAUGACCUCUUUUUUGCUACGUGUCUUGAGCCACUGACCUAUACUGUUGGAAUUGUGGAA